rnacentral:rRNA from 1 species
UACGUAGGGUGCAAGCGUUGUCCGGAAUUAUUGGGCGUAAAGAGCUCGUAGGCGGAUCGUUAAGUCAGGGGUGAAAUCCUGGAGCUCAACUCCAGAACUGCCUUUGAUACUGGCGAUCUUGAGUUCGGGAGAGGUGAGUGGAACUGCGAGUGUAGAGGUGAAAUUCGUAGAUAUUCGCAAGAACACCAGUGGCGAAGGCGGCUCACUGGCCCGAUACUGACGUUGAGGUGCGAAAGCGUGGGGAGCAAACAGG